UACGGAGGGUGCAAGCGUUGUCCGGAAUCACUGGGCGUAAAGGGCGCGUAGGCGGCUCAUGAAGGCUGUGGUGAAAGUCCGGGGCUCAACCUCGGAUCGGCCGUGGCGACUCGUGGGCUGGAGCACUGUAGAGGCGGGUGGAAUUCCGGGUGAAGCGGUGGAAUGCGUAGAGAUCCGGAAGAACACCAGUGGCGAAGGCGGCCUGCUGGGCAGUGGCUGACGCUGAGGCGCGACAGCGUGGGGAGCAAACAGG
rnacentral:rRNA from 1 species